GACGAACGCUGGCGGCGUGCUUAACACAUGCAAGUCGAACGGAAAGGCCCUGCUUUUGUGGGGUGCUCGAGUGGCGAACGGGUGAGUAACACGUGAGUAACCUGCCCUUGACUUUGGGAUAACUUCAGGAAACUGGGGCUAAUACCGGAUAGGAGCUCCUGCUGCAUGGUGGGGGUUGGAAAGUUUCGGCGGUUGGGGAUGGACUCGCGGCUUAUCAGCUUGUUGGUGGGGUAGUGGCUUACCAAGGCUUUGACGGGUAGCCGGCCUGAGAGGGUGACCGGCCACAUGGGGACUGAGAUACGGCCCAGACUCCUACGGGAGGCAGAAGUGGGGAAUAUUGCACAAUGGGCGGAAGCCUGAUGCAGCAACGCCGCGUGCGGAUGACGGCCUUCGGGUUGUAAACCGCUUUCGCCUGUGACGAAGCGUGAGUGACGGUAAUGGGUAAAGAAGCACCGGCUAACUACGUG
rnacentral:rRNA from 1 species